CAGAACUGUGCCCGUCAUGGUUCCCUGGAGCGGCAUUAUCCGUCCCAGGGCUAAGAGGGAAUCCGGUGCGUCGAUCCGUCGGCAAUGCCGGGGCUGCCCCCGCAACUGUAAACGGCGAGCCGCUGUCCACCGAUGUCACUGAGGCCAAGGCCUUGGGAAGACGGACAGGGUGACGACCCGUGAGCCAGGAGACCUGCCAAGACGAAAUAACGUCC
rnacentral:ncRNA from 2 species